UACUAAGGGGGCUAGCGUUGUUCGGAAUUACUGGGCGUAAAGGGCGCGCAGGCGGCUCUGAAAGUCAGAUGUGAAAGCCCCGGGCUUAACCUGGGAACUGCAUUUGUGACUGCAUGGCUGGAGUGCGGCAGAGGGGGAUGGAAUUCCGCGUGUAGCAGUGAAAUGCGUAGAUAUGCGGAGGAACACCGAUGGCGAAGGCAAUCCCCUGGGCCUGCACUGACGCUCAUGCACGAAAGCGUGGGGAGCAAACAGG
rnacentral:rRNA from 1 species